rnacentral:rRNA from 1 species
AAAAACAACACAACACCCCCAUUUGGGCUUGUAAUUGGAAUGGUGGGAAAUUAAAACCCUCCCAAAAACUCAAUUGGAGGGCAAGUCUGGUGCCAGCAGCCGCGGUAAUUCCAGCUCCAAUAGCGUAUAUUAAAAUUGUUGCAGUUAAAACGCUCGUAGUUGAAUUUCAAAGAAUCGAUAUUUUAUUGCACGCUUUCUAGGGGAACCAUUUAAGCUUUUCUCUGUAAUGCCUUUGCGCUAUUUUUAUGUUCUUUAGUUAUCAAAAUUAAAUUGUUUUUUUUUAGGGCCUUUCUUUGCUUUUUGGGGGAUUUCUUUCUUUGUGUAAAUAAAAGGGUUCAAAAAAAACAAACAAAGCAUUUACUGCGUUUGAAUACUAUACCACGGGAUAACAAAAAUGAACAAGCUAAAAAUUUUUGUUCUUUUUUCUUAUUUUGGCUUAGUUACGAUUAAUAGGAGUAGCUUGGGGGCAUUCUGGAUUCAGAUGUCAGAGGUGAAAUUCUUAGAUUUCUGGACGACACACUAUCUAGUCAGAUUGCCGG